rnacentral:rRNA from 1 species
GACGUGCGCAGGCGGUUAUGUAAGACAGAUGUGAAAUCCCCGGGCUCAACCUGGGAACUGCAUUUGUGACUGCAUGGCUAGAGUACGGUAGAGGGGGAGUGGAAUUCCGCGUGUAGCAGUGAAAUGCGUAGAUAUGCGGAGGAACACCGAUGGCGAAGGCAAUCCCCCUGGACCUGUACUGACGCUCAUGCACGAAAGCGUGGGGAGCAAACAGGAUUAGAUACCCCUGU